AGCAGAGUGUGACUUCCAGGACAUUUCCUUAAAGGGAAGAUGCAGGCUCUUCUUCAGUGCUGUCUUCCUCCUUCCCACUGGCUGGAGCUCCAGCGGCUGUCUUGAGCCAUGAAAUGACCUUGGACAUGGAAAUGACACCUAGCAAAUCAAUAUGCUAGAGGGGGCCUGGGCCCCUGAUGGCACCUAGCUAUCAACCCACAUUCAAGUACAGGAGCAAAAAAAUGCACAGGGUGUAGACUCACGUGCAACUGAGUGGGGUGGGAGGGAUGGGGUGCCCAGGAGAGAGGAGCUGCCAGGCAUGCAACACCCCCUCAAGGAGCACUUCCUCCUGCAUGAGCUGUGAGGCCAGGAGGAAGCUGGUGGAAGGACUUGCUCCAAGAGGAACUGGAAACAGAGGGUGGAUGGACGAAAAAAAAAAAAAAAAAAAAGGAAGCAACAAAGGAAUGAAAGGACCAGGUGACUUAAGGGAGAACUCUGCUUGCCUGUGAGAUGAGCUCCGGUGCAGAGGGAGCCGUGGACCGUCAGGAAGAAAAGGGCCCCACACCCUAAACAGAGCCUCAGCCUGCACCGGAGCCUCGAGCCUCUGCUCCCACCACCAUAGAAUCACACAAGGUAAUGAUUUGGGAUCAUUGGAUGUGAGAAUCCUACAGAGGUGAGUUGGAAGCCACUUUGGGCAAAGCUAAUUGUUCUGCACCUUUGGUUCUUCUUCUGCUUAAAAAAAUUUUGAAUGAAGAAAGAAAAAAACAAGAGUUCCCAUUGUGGCAUAGCGGAAACGAAUCCGACUAGUAACCAUGAGAUUGCAGGUUCGAUCCCUGGCCUCGCUCAGUGGGUUAAGGAUCUGGCAUUGCCAUGAGCUGUGGUAUAAGUCGCAGACCCAGCUUGGAUCCCAUGUUGCUGUGGCUGUGGUAUGGGCUAUCCAAUUCGACCCCAAAGCCUGGGAACCUCCAUAUGCCAUGGGUGUAGCUCUUUAAAAAAGCAAAAAGAAAGAAAGGAAGGAAGGAAAGACGAAACAAACAACCUAAAUGUCCAUCAACAGAGGAGUGGAUCAAGAAGAUGUGGUACAUAUACACAAUGGAAUAUUACUCAGCCAUUAAAAGGAAUGAAAUACCGGCAUUUUUAGCAACACGGAUGGACCUAGAAAUUAUCAUGCUAAGUGAAAUCAGCCAGACAAUGAGACAUCAACAUCAAAUGCUUUCACUGACAUGUGGAAUCUGAAAAAAGGACAAAAUUAACUUCUUUGCAGAACAGAUACUGACUCACAGAAUUUGAAAAACUUACGGUCUCCAAAGGAGACAGUUUGGGGGGUGGAGGGAUGCACUGGGGGAUGGAAAUGCUAUAAAACUUGGUUGUGAUGAUCAUUGUACAACUACAAAUGUAAUAAAUUCAUUGAUAAAAACA
rnacentral:lncRNA from 1 species